UAGUAGUGUAGCAUGUCCGUUUUGGUGAUAAACUCUGAUUUAUUAUUAUAUUUAUAUUGUUGGGUUAACGGGGUGUUACACUUUC
rnacentral:pre_miRNA from 1 species